rnacentral:rRNA from 1 species
UGUUGCAGUUAAAAAGCUCGUAGUCGGAUUUCAGUAUUAGGCCCUUCUUCCAAUACGGUUGCUAGUGGUCUUUACUUCCUUAACAGAAUCUUUCAUCUCAUUAAUUUGGGGUGUUUGGGGCCUGUUUCUUUUACUUUGAGAAAAUUAGAGUGUUCAAAGCGGGUUUUCGCCUGGAUAUUACUCUUGGAAUAAUAAUAUAGGACUUUGGUUCUUUUUUGUUGGCGACUUAGAACCGAAGUAAUGAUUGAUAGGGACAGUUGGGGUCAUUCGUACUAUGAAGCGAGAGGUGUAAUUCAUGGACCUUUGUAUGACGAACUACUGCGAAAGCAUUUGACUAGGAUGUUCCCGUUGAUCAAGAACGAAAGUUGGGGGAUCGAAGACGAUCAGAUACCGUCGUAGUCUCAACCAUAAACUAUGCCAGCUAGGGAUUGGAGGAAGAUCAUUUUACGUCUCCUUCAGCACCUUAUGAGAAAUCAAAGCAAUUUGGGUUCCGGGGGGAGUAUGGUCGCAAGG